rnacentral:lncRNA from 1 species
GCUUGAUAACCCACAUAAAGCUUUCAAAAACCCCACUCUUUUUAACUUCCAAUCCUUUUUGACACUCUUCUAAUUCUUUUCUCUCCAGAAAUCUUGCUAGCUGGCUGAAACGAGGUUCGGGUGCUUGGAUUCGAGGCUCAAAAAUCUCUCUUUCUCUCUCACACACGCAGUGUCAUGGAUGCGAAUUAAGGUACUAUAAAAAGGUGAAAGAAGCGACGGCUAUUUUGG